CAAUGAUUUCGUGCAACGCGGCCUCGCUUCUGGAAGUGACGCUGGGCCGAGUUUUGGCCUCGCACCUGCGAGGAGUGAGCUCCUCUCGCGGCUGCUCGUUGUUCGGCGCCUGCAAGGCCUGUUGCACCAAGUCCGGCUGCGCCAUCUGCUGUGUCCGCCAUGUUCACAUUGCUAGCAACAGCGUUCUGUGCGAUCAUCAUUGCAUCUGUCACAACCCAAGCAAACGCCGAUGAAAAAGGGAGACCAGCGACGCGAUGCCACGCGGUGCAAAUUCCAGAUGUCAUGGGGAUCAGAGAG